AUCCAGCUGACGAGUCCCAAAUAGGACCAAACGCACGUCCUGGAU
rfam:Schistosoma rodhaini strain Burundi genome assembly, scaffold: SROB_scaffold0001408